GACGAACGCUGGCGGCGUGCCUAAUACAUGCAAGUCGAACGAAGCUGUUUUAACCGGUGCUUGCACCGACUUAAACAACUGAGUGGCGAACGGGUGAGUAACACGUGGGUAACCUGCCCCAAAGCGGGGGAUAACAUUUGGAAACAGAUGCUAAUACCGCAUAACCACAGAAACCACAUGGUUUCUGUGUCAAAGAUGGUUUCGGCUAUCACUUUGGGAUGGACCCGCGGCGUAUUAGCUAGUUGGUAAGGUAAUGGCUUACCAAGGCAAUGAUAUGUAGCCGAACUGAGAGGUUGAUCGGCCACAUUGGGACUGAGACACGGCCCAAACUCCUACGGGAGGCAGCAGUAGGGAAUCUUCCACAAUGGACGAAAGUCUGAUGGAGCAACGCCGCGUGAGUGAAGAAGGUUUUCGGAUCGUAAAACUCUGUUGUCAGAGAAGAACGUGUGCGAGAGUAACUGCUCGUGCAGUGACGGUAUCUGGCCAGAAAGCCACGGCUAACUACGUGCCAGCCGCCGCGGUAA
rnacentral:rRNA from 1 species